AUUUUUUGACCUUCAACAGAGCCCUAACUAUCAGCAUUUCAGUAAAUUUGUGAAAUGGCAUAAAUAGCCUAAACUAUAGGAACACGGCUCCAAAGAAUGAACCCUGAACUCUAAAACAUGCAUUAAGAAUUGUAAUUUUCUGCUGCUAAGGCAAUAGCUGUAAUUUGAAAUAUAACAAUUACCAAUCAUAUGCAGGUUAUCCAGGAUGAAGGCAAACACACAGGGCAGAAACUGAAAGAUAAUGGUCAGGCCACGACUGUGAAAGAAAAUAUCACUAUUAGACCAAGACAGAAAUAUUAGCCUAUGGUUGAAAGUAUGGUGCUAUUACCAGAAUGGUAUUGUAAUUAGCUCUGUAUAUUGCAUUUUCUUAGAAUAACUUAAGUUUGCCUUAAGAAGCCAAUUACAGUGGACUCGUGUUUGAGACCACUCUCCAAAUUAAGAGUUUCACUACUUCUUUUUCACAGCAUUUCUUUAAAAUAAACUUACUCCACUUACCUUUUUAAAAAAAAAGCCAAUAUGAAAUCUGAACCUAGCCAUUCUACAUAGGAAUUUACCAUUCUGUUCAUGUUUUUCUUUCUUUGCUUUCCAUCCUUUCUCCUUCUUUGAAGUAUUGAGAAAGAAAUCCACCUGACUCCAGUGAACCAAUCUGCCAAUAGCAGGCAGCCAGUGUUCAGAUGAUCAAGUUACUGCCAUGCUCUGGGCCCAACUUAGAGAGGCCCCUAACGUUGUCAAUAUUGGGUGUGGAGUUGAUAUACCAUACACUACAGGAAAUAGGGAUAUCAAUCUAAACCGAAGAUAGAAGACCUGAAUCGUGUUUGGCUUCUUUGUUGUACCUCUGGGGAAGUACUUAAGAGAUGAAAGUUAAAUAACUUCAGUGGCCUGCCCUACCCUGAAAUAAAGCUUUUAGCAUGCAUCUCCUCCUGAGUAAUGGACACUUCAUUUUGUCAGAGAUGCAUCCUUUAAGGAGUCCCUAGAAAUUAGACUGCAAAGCCCCAGGGGCCCAGAACUAUGUUUAUAUAUUGCUCUGCUUCUAGCUACAAGUAUUCUUUGCAUCCUGUAUUUGGCCAGUAGAUGACUGGUGAGUGACAUAUUAGACAAAUACUCAUUUGUUAAUCAGCACACGAAAAUACCACCAAUACCCGUGGCCUGUUUGUCUUCUAAGAGGCACGAUAUGAAGCGCCAAGAAUCCAAAACACUGAAAGAAAUAAUCCUAACUGUGGACAAACUUUCAGUAAGGGGGCAACUUUGGCAUGUACCUAGACAAAAUCAGGGCAGGGGAAAUAUAUAUAAUGAUUGAGAGGGAGUUGAAUGAUUGAAGAAAGACAAAAAGGAGAAUCACAUAUUCUGAAAAGAAGUAAAGAAGAUAGAUUGAAAGGACACAAUAAAGGGCAUCGUGGCAAUGCCCCAACAAGCCUGGC